CCUACGGGAGGCAGCAGUGGGGGAUAUUGCACAAUGGGGGGAACCCUGAUGCAGCGACGCCGCGUGAGCGAAGAAGUACCUCGGUAUGUAAAGCUCUAUCAGCAGGGAAGAAAAUGACGGUACCUGACUAAGAAGCCCCGGCUAAAUACGUGCCAGCAGCCGCGGUAAUACGUAGGGGGCAAGCGUUAUCCGGAUUUACUGGGUGUAAAGGGGGCGCAGGCGGCCUGCCAAGCCAGGUGUGAAAACCCGGGGCCCAACCCCGGGCCUGCAUUGGAAACUGGCUGGCUGGAGUGCAGGAGGGGCAGGCGGAAUUCCUAGUGUAGCGGUGAAAUGCGUAGAUAUUAGGAGGAACACCGGUGGCGAAGGCGGCCUGCUGGACGAUGACUGACGCUGAGGCUCGAAAGCGUGGGGAGCAAACAGGAUUAGAUACCCUGGUAGUC
rnacentral:rRNA from 1 species